UACGUAGGGGACAAGCGUUGUCCGGAUUUAUUGGGCGUAAAGAGCGUGUAGGCGGCCUGACAGGUCUGCUGUGAAAACUCGAGGCUCAACCUCGAGAUGUCGGCGGAAACCGUCUGGCUAGAGUCCGGAAGAGGAGAGUGGAAUUCCUGGUGUAGCGGUGAAAUGCGCAGAUAUCAGGAAGAACACCUAUGGCGAAGGCAGCUCUCUGGGACGGUACUGACGCUGAGACGCGAAAGCGUGGGGAGCGAACAGG
rnacentral:rRNA from 1 species